GCGGGAGUAGCUCAGUUGGUAGAGCAUCAGCCUUCCAAGCUGAAAGUCGCGGGUUCGAGUCUCGUCUCCCGCUCCA
rnacentral:tRNA from 1 species